GAUGAACGCUGGCGGCGUGCCUAAUACAUGCAAGUCGAGCGAACGGACGAGGAGCUUGCUUCUCUGAUGUUAGCGGCGGACGGGUGAGUAACACGUGGAUAACCUACCUAUAAGACUGGGAUAACUUCGGGAAACCGGAGCUAAUACCGGAUAAUAUUUUGAACCGCAUGGUUCAAAAGUGAAAGACGGUCUUGCUGUCACUUAUAGAUGGAUCCGCGCUGCAUUAGCUAGUUGGUAAGGUAACGGCUUACCAAGGCAACGAUGCAUAGCCGACCUGAGAGGGUGAUCGGCCACACUGGAACUGAGACACGGUCCAGACUCCUACGGGAGGCAGCAGUAGGGAAUCUUCCGCAAUGGGCGAAAGCCUGACGGAGCAACGCCGCGUGAGUGAUGAAGGUCUUCGGAUCGUAAAACUCUGUUAUUAGGGAAGAACAUAUGUGUAAGUAACUGUGCACAUCUUGACGGUACCUAAUCAGAAAGCCACGGCUAACUACGUGCCAGCAGCCGCGGUAAUACGUAGGUGGCAAGCGUUAUCCGGAAUUAUUGGGCGUAAAGCGCGCGUAGGCGGUUUUUUAAGUCUGAUGUGAAAGCCCACGGCUCAACCGUGGAGGGUCAUUGGAAACUGGAAAACUUGAGUGCAGAAGAGGAAAGUGGAAUUCCAUGUGUAGCGGUGAAAUGCGCAGAGAUAUGGAGGAACACCAGUGGCGAAGGCGACUUUCUGGUCUGUAACUGACGCUGAUGUGCGAAAGCGUGGGGAUCAAACAGGAUUAGAUACCCUGGUAGUCCACGCCGUAAACGAUGAGUGCUAAGUGUUAGGGGGUUUCCGCCCCUUAGUGCUGCAGCUAACGCAUUAAGCACUCCGCCUGGGGAGUACGACCGCAAGGUUGAAACUCAAAGGAAUUGACGGGGACCCGCACAAGCGGUGGAGCAUGUGGUUUAAUUCGAAGCAACGCGAAGAACCUUACCAAAUCUUGACAUCCUUUGACAACUCUAGAGAUAGAGCUUUCCCCUUCGGGGGACAAAGUGACAGGUGGUGCAUGGUUGUCGUCAGCUCGUGUCGUGAGAUGUUGGGUUAAGUCCCGCAACGAGCGCAACCCUUAAGCUUAGUUGCCAUCAUUAAGUUGGGCACUCUAAGUUGACUGCCGGUGACAAACCGGAGGAAGGUGGGGAUGACGUCAAAUCAUCAUGCCCCUUAUGAUUUGGGCUACACACGUGCUACAAUGGACAAUACAAAGGGCAGCGAAACCGCGAGGUCAAGCAAAUCCCAUAAAGUUGUUCUCAGUUCGGAUUGUAGUCUGCAACUCGACUACAUGAAGCUGGAAUCGCUAGUAAUCGUAGAUCAGCAUGCUACGGUGAAUACGUUCCCGGGUCU
rnacentral:rRNA from 1 species